rnacentral:sRNA from 1 species
AAGCAUUUCGUUUCCAAAAAAAAAAAAAAUGGUUUCUGUCUCCGAACUUGUUCUCUACGUACAUGAGAAUGUCUACGAAACAUGCAUUGGAGUCAACAUCGCUAACAAUGAUCAAGUAUUUGAGUAUGCUCAAACUGCAUUUGUCGAAAACGGUGACAACGAUGAUGACGUUAUCUAUGAUUACGCUCCAGCAGCAUGAAUGAAUUUUAUCUCUAUUAGGCUAAAGCGUAGUGAACCAACCAUGAUUUUGUACUUCGUAUAUUAAUUAUUUAACGGCCCUAGGGCUUCCUUUAUGUUUUGUCUACUUAACACUUUCACUAUAAAUCGUCGAGCAUUUUAUUCUCUCAAGCUCACUUGAUUUCACUUUAUUUAUUUUAAUGAAAAAAUAAACGAAAAUAGUGCAGUAUCAUUACAUAUAGCCUGUAAAUUGUGAUGAUCAUGGUAGUUAAAGUAUCAUGAUACCAUUUAAGGAGUCUUCUAGAA